CAGUUGUUUGCGGAAUUGCGGAAAUGACUGUUCCCCUUUCACUUGCAUGGAAGAACUUCCGAUUCUUUUUUGAAUCUGCUGUCUGUUCUGUUAUUUACUCCCAGAACGAGGAAGUUAAUGUUGCACAUUUUUAAUCUCCAAUUCUUUAGGGAAAAGUCACUUUACGCGGAGCUGCCUCUCUGCUAAAUCAGGAAACUGAGCCUGUCUGUGGCGCCCCACGUUGGUUUUAACGUCCACCAAGCAUCGAUGUUUUUGCAGAGUGGUACCACACAUGGAACCGAUGGACUGGCUGCAGAACCACGAACUCUUGCGUUUUUUUCGCCGUCAUAAAACCGAAAUGUCCUGCAUGGAGAACCCGCACACGUUCCUCUGCCAGCUCAGGGAUCACGACCUGAUCCCCGAGGACCGAUACAAGAAGGUGAGUUGUAUGAGGAGUAAGGACAACAUGCGGAAAGGUCUCUAUGAAAUUCUGGACAGGUUUGAGACAGAGCGAUCGCAGGAGAUCAGAGAGUUCUGGAGAUGCGUAUUUAAGGACUCCAUCCUGAACCAGUAUCCCACGCUGCGACUAUUGCGCAACAGCCUCAUGGACGGGUCUUUUCAUUUCGAAAUAUCAGAGAAGAUGGGGAAGGAAGAGUCGGACAAAGGGAAACCGAAGGCCCUCUCGGAUAGCGAGGAGGAAGAGGAGGGAGAGAAGGGAGAGGAGAAGCAAGAAAAGUCUGUGGCAAAGAAGAGAAACCUAAGAAGUAGGAGCGCGCGCAGCGACGACCACGAGGAGGAGCUGGCCGGUCCAUCGUCUCAGUUGACUCCCAGGAAAAAGUUCAAGAAAAUAUGCUUCUCCACUCCACUGAAGAAGGGCGAGGAGAAGAACAUUUGGAACUGGCCCAUCUAUAAACUCCAGCUGCCUGUGACCUGUGGAAACCGUGAGGGCACACUGAAUAGACCAAGGCUGGCUAAAGGGGAAAGGUGCAUUGUGGUCGGGAAACAGUGGUUCAGUCCCACUGAAUUUGAGAUUUUCGCUGGGAAAAAGAGCUCCAAGAACUGGAAGUCGAGCAUUCGAUGUAUGGAAACCCCGCUGGGAAAACUUAUAGAGCAAGGUCACUUACAAGCAGUAACGUACAAAGGAGGCCCUAAAAAAGUCAAGAAAUCCCUGUUCCCACCUGGUGAUGCAACCAUAGUGUCCAGCGGAGACGAAGAUGAAGAGGAGGACCGUCACCUGGACGAGGAGGACAGGGUUUCGUCAAGCAGCAGAGAAAGUUCCCCACCUCUCUCAGACGAGGAAAGAGAGCAACAGGCCGAGCUGCAGCCACAAGCCAGCCAUGACGGCGGCAAGACGGUGUUCAGAGUCACGUGUGGAGCUUCGAACGGGACUUUGCACAAGAAACGAUUUGCGUCAGGGACUUGUGGGAAGAGUAUCCGCACCGAGACGAGCUGGAUGACCCCAGUGGAGUUCCUGGAGUUGGAACUUGGUCGGAAAGAUGCCUCUUGGAAGAAAGACAUCGAUUGUGAGGGGAGACCGCUCUGUGUCCUCGUAAAGGCCGAGACCUUGAGGAUCCACUCUCUGCUGUGUAAUUGCAGCCUUUGCAAACCAGAUGAAGAAGAACAGAAGAAUCAGAAAAAUGAUGACGAGUGUUGCAUCUGUAGGAUGGAGGGAGAGUUGGUGAUGUGCGAUGACUGCCCUCGUGCCUUCCACCCGAAAUGUCACCUGCCUCAUGUAGAGGACGGCCUUUUAGGUAACGAGAUUGGGUGGCUUUGUACGUUCUGCGUAUACCGAACCAAUGAAAGGUAUUUGUACUCGGAGAGGAUGGAAAGAGAAGCAGCUCUGUCGUACCAAAUAUCCCAACGCAUGUUGCAGUGCCAGUAUCUCCUUCUGUGUCUGUGGAGUGCCGAUGAGGAACAAAUAUUUGCUGCAAACCCCUGCCUCUAUUUGACCGACUACUCUGAUGUGAUCGAGGCUCCGAUGUGGUUCGGUGACAUAGCAGGCAAACUCCAGCAGAACCUCUACCAGACCGUUGGAGAGUUUGUGACUGACGUCCAUCUCGUUUUCUCCAACUGUGCUUUAUACAACCGGAAAAAUGCUGAACUUCUCGUCACGGGCAACAGACUGAAGGAGUCAUUUGACAGAGAAUUUAAGAGCGUGUUCAACAUCAAGGAAUAGGCUGGUGGCGCAUUAACAGUGUUCUGGUGCCAAACUCAGUAACGCCUGUGGAAACGUCUCCGUGGAUCAUAGUUUCGUGCGGACCCCGGUUCUGACUCCUGGCUCAUGGCUCUGCUGACACCUGCUGCUGCCAUCAUCAUUACUUUAAAUAUGAUUCAUAUUACUGUCAUCAAAAACCAACAUCUUUCUGCUCUCCCUCCCCACAGAAGCCUCUGUGGAUGGUGGUUCGAUCUGAUGGAGGUUGUCCCUGCAGUGGUCCUGCCGUACACCUCUUCUGCUACUUGCAAUUACUUGUAUCAUUUCAGUUAGAGAAAUUGAAUGUAUUGUACAUCUUUUACAUUGUUGAUUCUGUACACAUGACAUCCAUUGCAGUCUGUCCAUCCCGGGAGAGGGAUCCCUCCUCUGACGUUCUCCCUAAGGUUUCUUCCCUUUUUUCCCCAUUGAAGGGUUUUUUUUCAUAUUUUGGGGAGUUUUUCCUGUGCCGAUGUGAGGGUUUCGGGACAGAGGAUGUUGCAUGUGUACAGACUGUAAAGCCCUCUGAGGCAAAUUUGUAAUUUGCGAUUUUGGGCUAUACAAAAUAAAAUGAAUUGAAUUGAAUUGAAUUGAAUUGAAUUGAAUUGAAUGUGGUGAGGGUUCCAAAAUGAAUGCAUGGAUUGUUAGUGUCAGUGCUUGUUUGGAGUUCUUCGAGUCGUGCAACAGUGUCACCUUAAAGCCUUUAAAUUGCAAUUAAUGUUCUACUUUCUGUCUUCAUUGAUGGGAUGUAUCUUUUAAAAUAAAAUCGAAUAAUGGCA